GGGUAGAGCCGGGCGACUCUGGCGGGACUGCCAUCGACAAGAUGGAGGAAGGUGGGGAGUGACGUCAAGUCAUCAUGGCCCUUAUGUCCAGGGCGGACACACGUGCUACAAUGGCCGGCACAGCGGGAAGCGAGGCAGUGAUGCCAAGCGGAUCCCUUAAAAGCCGGUCUCAGUUCGGAUUGAAGUCUGCAACUCGACUUCAUGAAGCUGGAAUCGCUAGUAAUCGCAGAUCAGCCAAGCUGCGGUGAAUACGUUCCCGGGCCUU
rnacentral:rRNA from 1 species